rnacentral:rRNA from 1 species
CCUACGGGAGGCAGCAGUGGGGAAUAUUGGACAAUGGGGGCAACCCUGAUCCAGCCAUGCCGCGUGUGUGAAGAAGGCCCUCGGGUUGUAAAGCACUUUCAGUGAGGAAGAACGCCUGGUGGUGAAUACCCAUCAGGAAAGACAUCACUCACAGAAGAAGCACCGGCUAACUCCGUGCCAGCAGCCGCGGUAAUACGGAGGGUGCGAGCGUUAAUCGGAAUUACUGGGCGUAAAGCGCGCGUAGGUGGCUUGAUAAGCCGGUUGUGAAAGCCCCGGGCUCAACCUGGGAACGGCAUCCGGAACUGUCAAGCUAGAGUACAGGAGAGGAAGGUAGAAUUCCCGGUGUAGCGGUGAAAUGCGUAGAGAUCGGGAGGAAUACCAGUGGCGAAGGCGGCCUUCUGGACUGACACUGACACUGAGGUGCGAAAGCGUGGGUAGCAAACAGGAUUAGAUACCCCGGUAGUC